AUAAAUAAAACAAUAAAUAAAAUGGGGAAAGGAAUCUAUGGAUAGCUUUAGAGAGAGAAAAUCCAAGGAAAAAAAAAAAAAAAUUAGAGAGAAGGAAGGGUGGAGAGGCGGUUGCUCACCAUGAACACUUGUCUCUCGUCUCAGACUCCUUGAGCUUUGCUGUUUGCUCCCUACUUCAGUAACUAGAGAGAGAGAGAGAGAGAGAGUUCCUGGUGAGAGAAAGUGGCGUUCCAGAUGCUCUGCAAAUGGGGAAGACUGAACAGCAAAAUCUGCAACAACAGCAGAGCCAUGAGGCUGAGAAUCGAGGUUCUUGGGGACUCAUCUACGGGGAAUAUUCGAUGGUUCUCACAAGACUGGCAAAAGAGUUCAGUUUCAGAUGCGUCCUCGUUUUGUUUCUGAGCUUCUCUGUUUUACUUUCUGGGAUCUUCUGGAUCCUUCCUUACUAUGCAAUGGAGUCUGGGUUCGAUGCAAAAGAAGCAGUUAGGCUCAGUGCUCCGGUUCAAGCAUACUUUACCUUAGAAAAGCGAGUUUCUGAGCUAGUUCCACAUAUUGGAAGACUAGAGUAUGAUAUUAAUGCAGAAAUAGGAGUUCCAGAUACAAAGGUAGCUGUCUUAUCCAUGCACCGAUCAGGUGCUUCUAACUGUACUGCUGUUGUGUUCGGUGUUCUUUCUGAUCCUGUAAAUAUUCCAAUAAACCAAGUGUACUUAAGUUUGCUGAGGUCAUCUUUGAUCGAGGUGUUUUUGCAGCAAUCAAACCUUACUGUGACAACAUCUAUUUUUGGACAGCCAUCUAAAUUUGAGAUUCUUAAGUUUCAAGGGGGGAUCACUGUAAUUCCAAUGCAAGCUGCUUUAAUCUGGCAAAAACCCCAGAUUCUAUUUAAUUUUACCCUCAAUAAUUCUAUUGCUGACAUACUGGGAAAUUUUUCUGAAUUCAAGGAUCAGUUGAAGUCCGGAUUGCACCUAACUUCUUAUGAGAAUGUAUAUGUGCAAAUAACAAACAAAUUUGGUUCAACAACAGCUUCUCCAGUUAUAGUCCAGGCUUCAGUCUUGUCUGAUCUAGGAAGCCUUCUGCCACAGAGAUUGAAGCAGUUGGCUCAAACAAUUACAGGCUCUCCUAUAAAAAAUCUUGGCCUUGAUAACUCAGUCUUUGGUAAAGUUAAAAGUAUCAGUUUGUCUUCUUACCUUAAAGGUACACUUAGUGCAUCUCCUCCGAGUCCUUCUCCAGCACCUUCGCCAGAGCUAACAGGACCAUCAAUAUCUCCUUAUUCUGCUCCUUCAACAUAUCCCCCAGCACCCUCACCUGACACCCAUGAUAUCCCACCAUAUUUUAACAAUGAUGCUUCUCCAGCACCAUCUGUGGUAAAUGUGCAUCCUCCGCUGCCUUGUAUAUAUCGUGGUCUGAGAAUUGCUCCAACGACUUCACCAGCUUCCCCCCCUAACCCAACUGUUCCUCAGGCUUUAACACCUAGUGCUGACUCACCUCAUAUGGGUCCCAUAUCUCAAUUUCCCCCAGUUGUCUCACCUGUACAAGAAGUGUCCUCUGCUUUGAGUCCAGGCGAGAGGAAGGGAAAUGCUAAAGGAUUAGUGGCUCCAUUACUUGCGCCAUUCCCAUCAUGUUCAAAUUAAAGUUUGAGCUAAGUUAACUUUGUGAAAGACAUGAACUAUGCGCGACAAUGAGAAGAGUUCAUGGAGUUUUAAAAAGUAAGCUUUAGCAAUAGGUCCUUCCUUUAAGGAGAUCUGGUUAUUGGGAUUUUCAGGACUGGUCAUGUUUCAUCUCCUUUGUUGGUCAUAUUGAGACUUUAAUUGCAUCUCAAAUCGCUUAGGAAGCAACACAGCUCAACGAUAAUGACCCCCUACCCAGUUUUGUUUUGGUAAGGAGGAAGGGUGCCUUUUUUGUAAAGCUUGACUUUUUUCUUCUUUUUUUUUUUUUUUUUUUUUUUUUUUUUUUUUUUUGGGGUCCUCGAGACAAGCAACAAGUACAGUAAUCAAUUCAGGAGAUGAUAGCAGGUCAAGGCUGGAUGGUGACAGGCCUUCAUCUAGCUUCUAUAAUGGUGAAUGUCGCGAGAAUGCACAGGUACUCUUCCAAAGGGAAGACUCCUGGAUGGUGACCAAGUUUAAGCAAAUAUGAAACUGUAUAACUGAAAAAGAACCGGCUCUUGUGACAGAUGGAAAUGUAAAGUCUAUAGGUUUUAUUUGAACCUAUAAGCUGGGUAAAACCCUAAAAUGUUUUGUGGAAAAGGAAUACAUAAAGCGAAGAAGGUACAUGGUCAUAUGAGUAUAGCAUGUUGAAUUGUUGAGUAAUGGAUUUAUUCUCCAUCUUUUCCUUAA